rnacentral:rRNA from 1 species
UACGUAGGGGGCAAGCGUUGUCCGGAAUCAUUGGGCGUUAAGAGCGUGUAGGCGGCCCGAUAAGUCCGCCGUGAAAGUCCAGGGCUCAACCCUGGAAUGCCGGUGGAAACUGUCGGGCUGGAGUCCGGAAGAGGCGAGUGGAAUUCCUGGUGUAGCGGUGAAAUGCGCAGAUAUCAGGAGGAACACCAAUGGCGAAGGCAGCUCGCUGGGACGGUACUGACGCUGAGACGCGAAAGCGUGGGGAGCAAACAGG